rnacentral:tRNA from 2 species
AGGGUUAUCGCCAAGUGGUAAGGCACAGGACUUUGACUCCUGUAUUCGAGGGUUCAAAUCCCUCUAGCCCCGCUA